AAUCCUCCCACAGUGAUACAUCCCUGAACUAGAACCUCUCCUCUGGCUGGGUGAGCAGCCUUCAUGUGAUGCUGGUCUGGGAAGCAGCAGAGAAGAUUGUCUGAAUGAGCUGAGGAGGAAGAUAUUGUGAUCAAUAAGACUGGGUGGAUAUGAAAAGCAUAUGAUAAUUUGAUGACUUGGAAACUACAAAGAGCAGGAGAAAAUCAUGAAAGGAUAAGACCAGGAGACUUUAGGACAUUUGCAUAUUGCUCCUUAGAGAGGAGCUCCCUUGCAAGUACAACAUAAAAGCUCAGCUCUAAGCUUGCUUGGACUGACCAGCAUUGCUUACUCUCAAAAUGAGGUGCCCUGUUCAGCUCCUGGGGAUGCUUAUGCUCUGGGUAUCAGGAUCCAGUGGAGAUGCUAUAUUGACUCAGACUCCACUCUCUCUGCCUGUCACCCUGGGAGAACCAGUCUCCAUCUCCUGUAGGUCGAGUCAGAGUCUCUUAUAUAGUGAUGGAAACACCUAUUUGUACUGGUUCCUACAGAAGCCAGGCCAGUCUCCACAAGCCCUAAUCUAUUUGGUUUCCAACCAAUAUUCUGGGGUCCCAGACAGAUUCAGUGGCAGUGGGUCAGGCACAGAUUUCACAUUGAAAAUCAGCAGUGUGGAGGCUGAGGAUGUUGGUGUUUCUUACUGCUUUCAACAUACACAUGUUCCUCCUACACUGAUACAGCCCUGAACAAAAACCACCAUGACUGGUGUAGCAGAACUGUCACAUGUAGCCGUUUUUAGGAGCAGCACAACAGCUUUUCUGAGUGAAUGUGAGAGCAAGAAGCUAGAGAAGUCAGGAUACUAAGUCACUGUUGUGCUCUCUGAGCCAAGCAUU